rnacentral:lncRNA from 1 species
GUCUUGUCUAGCCCAAUAGGCGGGAGGUUGAGGGUCGGCAUUGGGACUCGUAACCCGUGAACGCCGAGGGGCGGGGUCAGCGGCGACCAACACGUCGACGUUUAGUCACGGGUGGGUUUUGAGACCGUUGCAAACUCUUUCGGCUUUUUGGUCGUGGAGAGGCUGGGCUUGUGCCAGGUUAUCCAGCCUCCCUUCUCUGUAGUGUCUCUUCCAAUCAAGACCUUUUAACAAGGAGACUAUGUUACGAGGAACCGCGUCCUUGCCGAAUUAGAUGUUUACCUUCGGAGAUUGCCCUGGAGCAUGAUGAACGUUUUGUAAGCCCGAGAAACGGGAAGGCCCAGGAGGGUGGGGAAUUCCCAAAGAACUAGAAAACAAGGAAGCAGGUGUCCCUGGAUAAGGGUCAUGAUGAA